GCCAGGUGUGGUGGCCCACACCUGUAGUUCCAGCUACUCGGGAGGCUGAGGCAGGAGAAUCACUUGAACCCAGGAGACGGAGGUUGUAGUGGCCCAAGAUUGCGCCACUGCACUCCAGCCUGGGUGACAGAGCGAGACCCUGUCUCAA
rnacentral:SRP_RNA from 1 species